rnacentral:rRNA from 1 species
UACAUGUGGGGCAAGCGUUGUUCGGAAUUACUGGGCAUAAAGGGUGCGUAGGCGGUUUGUUAAGUCAGGGGUGAAAGUUUUCGGCCCAACCGGAAAAUGGCCUUUGAUACUGGAGAGCUUGAGUCCGGGAGAGGUGAGUGGAACUCCGAGUGUAGAGGUGAAAUUCGUAGAUAUUCGGAAGAACACCAGUGGCGAAGGCGGCUCACUGGCCCGGUACUGACGCGUGAGGUGCGAAAGCGUGGGGAGCAAACAGGG